UACGGAGGGUGCAAGCGUUGCUCGGAAUCAUUGGGCGUAAAGCGUACGCAGGCUGUUCGUUAAGUCGGGUGUGAAAGCCCAGGGCUCAACCCUGGAAUGGCGCCCGAAACUGGCGAGCUUGAGUGCGGGAGAGGGAAGCGUAAUUCCUGGUGUAGAGGUGAAAUGCGUAGAUAUCAGGAGGAACACCGGUGGCGAAAGCGGCUCCCUGGCCCGACACUGACGCUCAUGUACGAAAGCGUGGGGAGCAAACAGG
rnacentral:rRNA from 1 species